CCUACGGGGGGCAGCAGUGAGGAAUAUUGGUCAAUGGGCGCAAGCCUGAACCAGCGAUGCCGCGUGCAGGAAGACAGCUCUACGGGUUGUAAACUGCUUUUGUACGGGAGUAAACGCAGGUACGCGUACCUGUCUGAAAGUAUCGUACGAAUAAGGAUCGGCUAACUCCGUGCCAGCAGCCGCGGUAAUACGGAGGAUUCGAGCGUUAUCCGGAUUUAUUGGGUUUAAAGGGUGCGUAGGCGGUUUGAUAAGUUAGAGGUGAAAGCCCGAGGCUCAACUUCGGAAUUGCAUAUGAUACUGUGAGGCUAGAGAGCAGUUGGGGUAGGCGGAA
rnacentral:rRNA from 1 species